UACGUAGGGUGCAAGCGUUAAUCAGAAUUACUGGGCGUAAAGGGUGCGCAGGCGGUUCUGUAAGACAGAUGUGAAAUCCCCGGGCUCAACCUGGGAACUGCAUUUGUGACUGCAGAACUAGAGUAUGUCAGAGGGGGGUGGAAUUCCAAGUGUAGCAGUGAAAUGCGUAGAUAUUUGGAAGAACACCAAUGGCGAAGGCAGCCCCCUGGGACAAAACUGACGCUCAUGCACGAAAGCGCGGGGAGCAAACAGG
rnacentral:rRNA from 1 species